rnacentral:rRNA from 1 species
UGGGGAAUUUUGGACAAUGGGGGAAACCCUGAUCCAGCCAUCCCGCGUGUGCGAUGAAGGCCUCCGGGUUGUAAAGCACUUUUGGCAGGAAAGAAACGUCAUGGGUUAAUACCCCGUGAAACUGACGGUACCUGCAGAAUAAGCACCGGCUAACUACGUGCCAGCAGCCGCGGUAAUACGUAGGGUGCAAGCGUUAAUCGGAAUUACUGGGCGUAAAGCGUGCGCAGGCGGUUCGGAAAGAAAGAUGUGAAAUCCCAGAGCUCAACUUUGGAACUGCAUUUUUAACUACCGGGCUAGAGUGUGUCAGAGGGAGGUGGAAUUCCGCGUGUAGCAGUGAAAUGCGUAGAUAUGCGGAGGAACACCGAUGGCGAAGGCAGCCUCCUGGGAUAACACUGACGCUCAUGCACGAAAGCGUGGGGAGCAAACAGG